GAUGAAGAACGCAGCGAAAUGCGAUAAUUAAUGUGAAUUGCAGAAUUCCGUGAAUCAUCGAGUCUUUGAACGCACAUUGCGCCCCCUGGUAUUCCGGGGGGCAUGCCUGUCCGAGCGUCAUUGCUGCCCAUCAAGCACGGCUUGUGUGUUGGGUCCUCGUCCCCCCCGGGGGACGUGCCCGAAAGGCAGCGGCGGCACCGCGUCCGGUCCUCGAGCGUAUGGGGCUUUGUCACCCGCUCUGCAGGCCCGGCCGGCGCUGGCCGACGCGAAAGCAACCAUUUUUUCUCCAGGUUGACCUCGGAUCAGGUAGGGAUACCCGCUGAACUUAAGCAUAUCAAUAAGCGGAGA
rnacentral:misc_RNA from 1 species